UCUCCUCACAGAUUCAAAUUUACGUGAACGUCCGUUACGUUGGUGACGUCACCGCGAGCGCGAGAAGUCGAAGUGAGGAGCAGAAAGCGGUGUUAGUGUUAGUUCUGGCCCGUUUGGACCCAAACUAAAGUGUAUCAGUAUGAAGCAGGCGGUGACGGCGCAGUGGUUCACUCUCGGAGCUCGGUUCACUAAUGACCGAAUCACCGAGGAACCGACCAAAGAUAACUCACACCCGCACAGAGAAGAAGAACAAGAGGAGGAGAAGAACCCAGAAGAAGGAAACACUCAGCCCCUUAGCAUGAAGUAUGAGAAGCAGAUGAAGUAUUUCGUAGACAACGUCUUCUCUGAAUGAUGUUUUCCCAGACUGUAUGCUUGAUAGUGCUGAUAGACUAUCAGAAGCUAUAGCGACAUCUUGGUUCUGAUGAUGUUUUUCCAACCACUGCAAUGCCAGUAGGACUCCUAAUAAUUCUACGGUGUACACUGAUAAAUGAUCGGUCACCCUUUUUUUUUGACUGCUACUUCAUACCUAGGAAUGAAAAAGCUGCACCGUUGCGGCCAGUCUCAGGCUGUUUUGACCCGUCUGUAUAUACGAGUAAUUUAUCCUGAUACUGGUCCAUAUAGUUUUGAAUUAUUAUCCCUUGUGGUGCUAUUUUGAAUUCUCUUUUAAUAUUUGUUGUAAUCUUGUAUCUACAGAUGGUUUUAUGAAUCUCCAGGGUGGUACAGUUGGUAUCGCCAUAAUGGGGCUUACUUGUAGCUGACUGAGACCUGCGUUUUGUGCCUUUGCAUUUCCUAACCAUCCGAAGCUAUUAAAGUUAGUCCUAUAAAACUCAGCAUUCUUGUAAGAUGGCUUUCGUGGGGUGCACCCUGCUAUACCCUUGUAGAUUUACCCAAUAUGCCAGCAUGAUCUUAACCCUCCUGAUACACAGCGGCAUCUCUCCUGUCUCCACCUGUAAUGCAGUCACUGGUGAUGAUUUAAAUGCUCUAGUACAGAUCCGAAGUGCUUGUGCCUGUUCCACAUCGAGCUUUUUAAGAUUUGAUUGUGAUGAAGACAUAUAUGAUAAGCAGCCAUAAUCAAAGGCGGCCCUCAUAAGAGCCUGAUAUAUAUUUAUGAGCGAUGCCCUACUUGCUCCACAGUCUCGCCCUGACAGACAUCUCAGAACAUUAUUAAUCUUUUCACAUUUGUUCUUAAUUUUAUCAAUGCGCGGACCCCAGGUCAGCUUCUCAUCAAAAAUCACUCCUAAAAAUCUCACAGCCGUGACCUGUUCAGGAUCUAGCCCAUAUCAUUUAAGUGGUACUGUUUUAUGACGUUUAGAGAAACAUAUACCUUGUGAUUUUGAAAUUGAUAGUUGAAAUCCACAUUCAUUUGCCCACUGUUCUACUUUCCCUAUUGCAUGUUGCAUUUUCUUUCUUAAAUAUUCUAUAUUCCGACCCCUAACCCAGAGUGCCCCAUCAUCCGCAUAAAGCGACUUACCUAUAUUUCCCCCGACCUGAUCAAAUACGUCAUUAAUCAUAAUAUUAAACAGUAUUGGGCUACAUACACUGCCUUGUGGGGUACCAUUUUCCACUGCAUACCUCUUUGAGUACUCUGCACCUACUCUAACUUCUAUUGCUCUUCUGUUCAGGAUGUCUAAUACCCAAUUAUAUAUCUAAACAUUUAUUCCUAAUUUGUCGAGU